rnacentral:rRNA from 1 species
GACGUAGGAUGCGAGCGUUAUUCGGAUUUAUUGGGCGUAAAGCGUGCGUAGGCGGCUAUUUAAGUCUGGUGUUAAAGCUAGGGGCUCAACCCCUGUGAUGCACUGGAUACUGGGUAGCUUGAGUGCGGUAGGGGAAGGUGGAAUUCCGAGUGUAGCGGUGAAAUGCGUAGAUAUUCGGAAGAACACCGGUGGCGAAGGCGACCUUCUGGGCCGCAACUGACGCUGAGGCACGAAAGCGUGGGGAGCAAACAGG